UCGUCGAAGUGUACAGUGCAAAGUUAAUAAUCUCUAAAAUAUUUUACACAUUAAAUAGAAAUUUCUACUAAUAGGUAAUCAAACCAAUAAAAUUUCAUACAAAAGAAAAAGCCGAACAUAUAUCGGAGAGGCUCGACAUGUUCAAAGAGCUACUGGAGAUUUUAAGGUUAAACUGCAUUAUAGGCGAAGGUGGCGAAGUUUUUCUCCUGGCGUGGGACAGACUCCAAAAAAUGCAUUUAAACACAAGUUUGCGCUUGAGGAUCAUGAUUUCGACCACAAAACUCAAAAAUAUUUGCAGAAUGCGCAGGAACGGAAGGCAAGAUUAGAAUAGCGGGAUUUAAGGAAGAUUUUCGAUGGAAGACGGCGAUUUUGACUGGAUAACGAAAAAAUUCUUCCAAUACGCACAGGACAGAAUGUCGAAGGGGCAAAAGCAAAUUAAAGUUAAUUGACUAACCCAAUUUAUUUUUACUAUAAAAAUUAAAAAAGAUGAUUGAAAAAAAAAAAAA